CAGUGUAGAAAUAAACGAUGGUAAUAAU
rnacentral:sRNA from 1 species